rnacentral:tRNA from 1 species
AAGAGUGUUGUGUAAUGGUAGCAUAGUGAUCUCCAAAAUCAUUGGUAGGUGUUCGAUUCACCUCACUCUUG